GGUUAUAACUUAGUGGUAGAGCAUAUGUUUUGCAUGCAAAAGGUUUCGGGUUCAAUUCCCAGCUAGAACUG